CAGAGGGGGCAAGCGUUAUUCGGAAUCAUUGGGCGUAAAGGGCGCGUAGGCGGCUUUUCAAGUGACGGGUGAAAGCCCUCGGCUUAACCGAGGAACUGCCUGUCAGACUGGAAGGCUCGAGACCGGGAGAGGUGAGUGGAAUUCCCAGUGUAGCGGUGAAAUGCGUAGAUAUUGGGAGGAACACCAGUGGCGAAGGCGGCUCACUAGACCGGAACUGACGCUGAGGCGCGAAAGCGUGGGGAGCAAACAGGAUUAGAUACCCUGGUAGUCCACGCCGUAAACGAUGAGUGCUUGGUGUAGCGGGUAUCGACCCCUGCUGUGCCGAAGUCAACACAUUAAGCACUCCGCCUGGGGAGUACGGUCGCAAGACUG
rnacentral:rRNA from 1 species